rnacentral:tRNA from 1 species
UUAACUGAAACCAAACAAGAGGCAUAUUACUGUUAAUAAUAAAAUUGAAUUAACAAUUCCAGUUAAA